CAGAUCGUCCCGGCACGAACGCCGGUUACCGUCCCGCUUCCGCGGGCGGGAAUCGGCGGAACGUCGCGGUCAACUUGUCUACCCCAUGUGAAACUUAUACCUUUGCUUCGGCAGCACCUUGCGGGCAACCGCUCGGGUAAGGCUGCCAGAGGCCCCCAUUUAAACUAGUUGAUGAAAUGUCAUGCUGUCUGAUACUUUUAAGUUCGAGAAAUCGAAUUAUGUUA
rnacentral:misc_RNA from 1 species